rnacentral:rRNA from 1 species
AGGCAUCUAAGCGUGAAGCCCCCCUCAAGAUGAGAUAUCCCAUCGUAAGAGUAAGACCCCUUGAAGACGACGAGGUUGAUAGGGCAGGGGUGGAAGUGCCGUAAGGCAUGGAGCUGACUGCUACUAAUCGGUCGAGGGCUUGACCAA